GAAAAGAAACCAACAGGAAAUGCCCUAGUAACGGCGAGUGAAGCGGCAACAGCUCAAAUUUGAAAUCUGGCUUCGGCCCGAGUUGUAAUUUGCAGAGGAAGCUUUAGGCGCGGCACUUUCUGAGUCCCCUGGAACGGGGCGCCAUAGAGGGUGAGAGCCCCGUAUAGUUAGAUGCCUAGCCUGUGUAAAGCUCCUUCGACGAGUCGAGUAGUUUGGGAAUGCUGCUCAAAAUGGGAGGUAAAUUUCUUCUAAAGCUAAAUACCGGCCAGAGACCGAUAGCGCACAAGUAGAGUGAUCGAAAGAUGAAAAGCACUUUGAAAAGAGGGUUAAAUAGCACGUGAAAUUGUUGAAAGGGAAGCGCUUGUGACCAGACUUGCGCCGGGCAGAUCAUCCGGU
rnacentral:rRNA from 1 species